AGUGAUUAAUUUUUCAAAAUCGUCAAUCAUUGCUCUCAGGAUAGCAUCAUGAGUGUCCAAUUGCGGUGUGCCUUCUUUUCAAAGCCUGCGUUUGACAAUGUAGCAUGUAAACAUGUAGUUUAAGGCAAAUUCAUAGUUUGCAUAGAUGAUGGGUGUUUUGUUGAAAUCUCAGUUGUAGGGACAGAAGGGAAAGCUAAGCAUUUAGGCAGAAAGGAAUUUCUUUAGACUUGUCAAAAGGAAAAAUAAGUCACUCAAAAUAUUACCAGUUUUGAUUUUUUUCUCCCAGCAAAUUCUAAUAUGAGAGACUAUAUGAAAAUCAGUAAGUUCAACAAAGACCUUGGGAUGCUUACUAAAUACAAAAUAACUGUUGAUCUGGUGGAUAAAACACUGAAAUAACUAUAAUAAUUAACCUUUGGUACUGAGAAGUUACUACAAUAAUUACUUGUUUGGAUAAGAAACUAGCCCAAAUAAUUGAGAAAUGCCAAAAAGCAGCGGCUACUUAUUCAAAAUAAUUACAUUUACAUAAAGAAAUCCGUGAAGGAGAAAUUAAAAUUAAUGCUUCCAGAAUAAGCAAAAUACACUGUGUCAAUUUCCAACAGCCCCAAUCUGUCUAUGUGCUACUGAUGGAGGUGUCAGAAUUCUGGGCAAGUAUUCACAAAGUUCAAAAGUGUCAUAACACUGAAGCAAUGUAGUUAUAAGAGAAGAAAAUGUGUAUAGAUGGAAUCAUGGAAAUGUCACUCACUGUAAUAUGUGAGCAGGAGGUUGCAAUCAAAGCAGUUAGCAAUUAGAAAGUACAAGGCCCCAACUCCCACAGAAUUUUUGGUACAAGCAGCUCUGACAGCACACAGAACUGCUAUAAGAUAACUUUGUGAGAAAGCUUUGUCAGUGGUAAUGCCUGCCUUAGUGACAUCUGGAAACAGCUGUUUGUCUCCAAAAGACAGCAAUAUGUUGAAGCCUGCCAAACACAGAUAAUAAGGUGCUUACCUAUCAUUAACAAAAUUAUGCUUUCCUUAUUGACAGAAAAGAUCUGUUCACAUUGUGGGAAGAGUACAUUACAGAACUAGUGAAAAGCUAUUGAAAAGUAUCAUACGGAUGGUUGCAAAGCUGUGAUUCCCAGCCCUAAAUUUGCCGCCCUCUAGGGUGUCUACAAUUAUCCUGAGGAUCAUCAUGAGCCUUUUGAAAAUGUCUCAAAACAAAAUUAAAUAUGAGGCACUUUAAUUUUUAAAAAAUUAUAUGCCACACAGCAUUUUCAGGAAAAGGGGAAGAUGGCAUAAAAUCAAGCUGACAAUAGCAAUGUGCUAUAAACUCCCAUGAGGUUGGGAGCCAGUGAUGGUAAGACGGGCAUAUUAUAUAGAUUCAGUGGUAGUUUUUAUGAAUUCAGAACGUUGUACCAAGACACAUCAUCAAAACAGCUAUGGGCAAAUGCAUGAGUUUUCUAUGUAUUUCAAAAGUGGGCAUUCACAUAAAUAGUAAUUUGUAAAUUCUGUCGUCAAGUUUUGGAAAUUUUUUUUACUUAAGAGUUUCCUAAAUGUCUAAAAACAUAUUUCAAUACUAGCAACAAAAUCAUUCAUUCAUUAAAGACAUGUUUAUUUUAGUUUAUUUAUUUAUUUAUUGCUUUGUAGAGCUGCACCUGUGGCAUAUGGAAGUUCCCAGCCUAGGGGUUGAAUCAGAGCUGCAGCCGCUGGCCUAUGCCACAGCCACAGCAAUGCAGGAUCUGAGCCGUGUCUGCAACCCACACCACAGCUCACAGCCAGAUACUUAACCCACUGAGUGAGGCCAGGGAUCGAACCUGCAUCCUCAUGGAUACCAGUCGGGUUCGUUACCACUAAGUCACAACAGGAACUCCUAAAGACACAUUUAUUGAAAACAUGCUGUACACCAGGUGCUGAUACACACAUUGCCUGAUAGGAAGUUUGUAUCAGCCAUGUAUAGGAGUGCCUGUUUUCCUGAGCUUUGCUGAUAGCAUAUUAGAAAAUAUCUUUAGCAAUAUAUUAGUGAAAAGUUGUAUCUUAUUGUAAUUUGCCAUUUCUUUGAAUAUUAGUGAGAUUGGACAUUUUUCCUAUGACUGUAUGGUCAUUUGACCUUUUGAAUAAUCUGCUCACACCCUAUAUCAACUUUUCUACUGGCCUUUUUAUCAUUGAUUUUUUUUUUUUUUUUGUCUUUUUGCUAUUUCUUUGGGCCGCUCCCGCGGCAUAUGGAGUUUCCCAGGCUAGGGGUCGAAUCGGAGCUGUAGCCACUGGCCUACGCCAGAGCCACAGCAACGCGGGAUCCAAGCCACGUCUGCAACCUACACCACAGCUCAUGGCAACACCGGAUCAUUAACCCACUGAGCAAGGGCAGGGACCGAACCUGCAACCUCAUGGUUCCUAGUCGGAUUCGUUAACCACUGCACCACAACGAGAACACCUAUUAUUGAUUUUUAAAGGCUCUUUACAUAUUACCAUGCCAUCGACCUGACCUUACCAUCUUUGAGUAAGAGCUUCUAGAAUCCGCCACAUUUGCUCACUGUCAGAGCUGAAGUCAGCUAACAUCAAAUAUUUUUAUAAGGUCUAUGAGUAUCCAAGAAUCAUUGUGAUUCUAUUCAGUUCUCCUGUUUCUGCAUUAAAUCUAAUUUUAUUUUAUUUUAUUAAGUUUAAUUUUAUUUUUUAAUUAUUUCCCCAAUACAAUUUUUUUUCUACUGUACAGCAUGGUGACCCAGUUACACAUACAUGUAGGCAUUCUGUUUUUGCACAUUAUCAUGCUCCAUCAUAAGUGACUAGACAUAGUUCCCACUGCUACACAGCAGGAUCUCAUUGCUAAUCCAUUCCAAAGGCAAUAGUUUGCAUCCAUUAAGCCCAAGCUCCCAAUCCAUCCCACUCCCUUCCCCUCCCCCUUGGCAACCACAAGUCUAUUCUCCAAGUCCAUGUUAAAUCUAAUUUUAUUGAUUUAAAACAGAAACAGAACAUCGCAAAAAGCUAAAAGAUGUUACUAUAGUUGCCACCAUCAACUUCCUCAUUCUUGAAGUAGCCAUUAAUAGUAGAAUCUUUGGACUAUUUCAACAUUUUUUUAGUACUCUGCAUAUUUAGAAAGGACUUCACUGCCAUCUAAGGCACACUCUCUCACCCUGCUUUUAAAAAAUCUUAGCAGGCACACACAAUUAGGUCCUGGAGAUUUGCAGAUCUGAGAGUGAUACUGACCUUUUCACCAGAAAUGGCAGAAGCUAAUUUGGGGCAGUACCAGCACUGCUCAGUAACUUGAGCCAUCAUCCUCGAUGAUAGAUACAUAUUAAAAUUUCCAUAGAACUCUUUUCUCUCUGUGAUUUAGAGUCAAUAAACAUUUGCUGAGUCUUAAUAGGUGCCAGGUGCUUUUACAUAUCAUCUUUCUUCCAGUCCUCACCAUCUAUCUCUUCUAUCGGCGUCCUCAUUUUCCUAUGAGGAAAUUGUAAAUCAGAGAGGUU
rnacentral:lncRNA from 1 species